GGGAGAUACUGGAGGGCCUGUUUACACAAGUACUGGGGGAAGAAGCACCACCGGAUUUCGGUUUGGAGCGUGCCCACCGGGCACUCCGACCUCCAAGGAGAGAUGGUCACCCUAGGGACCUGGUAUGUUGCUUCCAAUCGUUUCAGCUGAAGGAAACAAUCAUGAGGGCGGCUAGAACGCAGCGCACCAUUACAUACAUGGACUCUAGGGUCUCCUUGUACCACGACCUGUCCCCCCUCACCCUCGAUGCCAGGCGAGCUCUGAAGCCACUCACAGGCCUCUUACAGCAGAAACGGAUCCCAUAUAAGUGGGGAUUCCCGUUUAGCCUACAGGCCAGAGUGAAUAACCG